UUGCUUCUGCACCAUAAAGAAAUUAGACAUCGAUAAUAAAUACUCAGUUCUUUUUAAUUCGAUUACAGUGUUCACUCUUUCUGCUUAUGUAUGUUCUGUCUUUGCUUCGCUUUUUUUUUUUUCUAUUGGGGCAGGGUAGGCCGGUGAUGAUCGUAUUUGGAUGUAAGAAGAUAGGUUGGGUGUAUAUUUAUUGAAAUGAACAUGUAUUAAUGGAGAUUGUUUUCUGGCACUGUAAAAAAGAUUACGCAUAUAUGGGUUAUCUUGUUCGAGAUGUGAAGGUUGAACAGAUAGUUUAAACAUAUUAAACUUAAAGUUUGACGACUUGAGAAAAAUUGAACAUACACUGACUUUUGGAGCUGAUAUUUGUGGCUCUUUUAAGAUAUGGCAUUCAUCAUCAGCAGGAACGGGCGGUGUCAAAACCUGAUCAUCCUCUUCGUGUGAAUUUUGUGUGCUAUUCAGUGGCUGGAUCAUUGCUACUGUCUCUCUGGAUUCAACAAGAUGAGGGUCCACUUCUUUAGAUCCAUUUGCUCCGAGGACUUCUAGUCCAUCUAGUGCAUCAAGCUUUUCAUGUUUUUCUUGUUCCACUUCCUGUACUGUUGGAUUUUGCUGUUUCAUUGCAUAUGUUUGAUUAAUUAUAAGCCCCUCACUUUUCUGCA